AGACGGGAUUUAAAAGUCGUGACAGAGUCUGCUGAUCUAAUGCUCAGUGGAAGACUGUUCCAGAGUCGGGGAGCCAGUACUGCAAAAGCUUGAUCACCUUUUGUUUUUAACCUGGUCUUUGGAACAGUUAAAAGACCCAGACUGGCAGACCUGAGGGGCUUGUUUGGACAGUACCGUGUGAGGAGCUCAGUUAUAUACUCCGGUGCCAGGUCAUUCAGAGCUUUAUAUGUGAUUAAAAGCACUUUAAAAUCAAUUCUAAUAUUUGAUAUUCUCUUAAACGUAGUAGCUGACAGGUGUGAUAGCAGAGAUCCUUUCCUCUAACCCGAGACACACUCUGAGAGCACAGAGCAUAAUCUGUUGACAUGUGACAGGAAAGACUCUGUGAAACAUGUCCUGGGGCUAUCUUUUGUCAGCUCACCCUGAUUCAAGUCUAAUAAGUCUAUCCUCUUUUUCCACAGAUAGGUGUCAGAAUACCCCUGCCUGUCCAUCCAGAGGCUUCCUUCUCGCCUGCGGUCAGAGUCACCACAGCUAAUGGUCGCGGGGUUCUCGCUGUCUGUCCUUUAUCUUUCAGCCCUGAGGAAAGGAUGAGAUGAGCUUACUGGUUUUCCUCCACACCUGAGCACCACGGGCACAAACCAGACUCCAGGUGUGGAGCACGAUCACGCCACUCCGACUGACCGAGAGAUCACAUGUGGUGAAAAUCCAUCAUUUCAGCUCCGCUGCCCGCUCAAUUGACCGUCACACAUGUAUACACCUUCUCUACACCCGUGCGUCUCAUCACCCAUUGUGAGGAGCUCAGCCACCAUCCCAGUCCACCGCAGCCUCUGCGUUCGGCCCCCCCAUAGAGGUAUGCACUCAGCCUUGUCAUAGCUCUAGGCAGUGCAUGUUCUUGUUGUGGGUUGAGCAAUUGCAUUAGUCAUUUCACAUUCCAAAUUCCUACCCCAUGCCGUAUUCACAACUCUUCACGUCUCUCUCGCUCGCUUUCCCCCUCUUUUUUUUUCUGCACCAAAUCCAUUUCCCCCCUCAUCCUCUUCAUCAUUUAAUUUUCUCUCUGUGCCAUGUCGGGGUGUUUGUGGGGAUUAGACCCGGCACUGAUGCUAUCUGAGCAACCUUCUCGUCAGAGGCGGAAGUCUUGUAGGGUUUAGACCUGAGGCUCAGAGGUUCCGAUUACAGGACGGGACGGCGCUUUGUGUCCUUGAGCAAAGUAUCUACCAAGCCCUCUACGCCUCAGUUAACAUCUACUGUUCUUACACAAAUGAGUGAUGUAUAAACCUCAAAGUUAUGUAUGUUGCUUUGGAUAUUAUCUUUUUUUCGCCAAGCAAAGCAAAUAUAAUGCAUAUUUCAAAAAAAUUACCCGCUGUGCCAAUUCAUCUUCAUCCAUCAGAGCACAGUGCAGCGGUGCAGCGUAGUAACCUUUACCUGAACCAGGCCGAUGCAGACACAAGAGAUAGUGUUACCGCCAGCGUCACCCUACAUUGUCUAUGUCAUUCAGUGUCUCAGGGCGACAGAGAGAAGCUCCAGCAUACAGCGGGUAGACUGCCCGCACAGGAAAACCUGACAACAAACACACACUCUCAUAUCACUCCCACUGAAGUGACCACAGGUGUGCACAUGGCAAGUAUGCAUGCACACACAUAUGCAAAAACCUUUCUGCCCUCACCUGUCUGCUGUCAGGACUGUUUCAAACACACACACAGGAGCUCGCAUAUUGCACCCCUUGCUCCGUCCAACCCCCCACCCCGCUCAAAGCAGCAGCCACCCUCGGGGCUUGUGCGUGCGAAUCCGGCUGUGGACUCAGCAGCCCCCAUCGCUGCACCCCCUCCACUCAGAGUAGUGAGGGAAAUGAAGGCUUUAGGAGUUCAUUAUAAAACAACAACAGCAGGAGCAGGGGAUAGGCCUCCUGGGGCCGAAAACUAUCCCUUCUCAUCCCUCCAUCCUCAUCUUCCUCCUUUAUGUCCCUCAAUAUCUCAUCCCUGCUCUCUGCGACACACUCCUCUCUGUUAAAAAAUACAGCAUUCAUGUUGAAUAAAGUUAAAUAUUGAUCCGCAAUAUUAUAAUACGACGAGUUAAUAUAGUGAGUCAGUAGUCUCGGCGUGUGAACCCGUUUGACCUGACGGCUGACGCAUUUAUGUAUCACUGAACUGAAGUUUUCAACUUUAUUGUCUAAGAGGGGAAAUUAAUAUUGAAGCAAAGGAUACAAGCACAGCUUUAUAUUGGUAAUAUAAUACUUUUAUUAGAUAGACAAAAACAUAUUGUUGCUGUCCAGUGAAAACCACUUAUCUCAAAAAUGUCAACUUUUUGUGAGCUAAGAAAAAAACAUUCUUUUCAGCUUUGUGACAUUUUGUUUUGCAGCCAAUCCAGAUUUUUUUUUUUAAUAGUGUAUUUAACUUUAUAACUGGGAUAAUUUCCUCGACCCCAUAAAUGAACACUUAAUCCAUCAGUAUCUGAAAUUUUUUUUUUCAAUGAUCACACUUUAAAGAUCUACAAAAAAUGUUUUUAUUUAUUUAAAAUUGAUUUAAUUUAAUUUUUAUUUUUUAAGUCGUAUGUCAGGGAAUGUCCUCUUCUGUUGAAAAUUUAAAAUUAAAUUAAAAGUAAAUGAAAAACAAAAAAAGGCUGAA